GGGGGUGCAAAGGUUUCGACGGGGAUUCUGAAGGCUGAUAAGCGUGGCGAGCCGGGUAAACUCGAUAACUGCCCAAACUUAAAAAAAUAAACGACGACACUAACGUUGCUUUGGCUGCCUGAGUUUUACGCCCUUGUGGCGUGAAGCUCGGCAGUGCCGCGGCCUGCGGGCCGCCCGUUCCGCCGGAGAAGACCGCGACUCCGGAUGGGGCGUCAAAUGAGCGGUGAACCUGCAUCGGCGGUUCGCUCUUGAACCGGUCAGGCAAAAAAGGGCUACUUUGAAGGAGAGCGUGUCUGCUCGCGCUCCGGAGGGGGAAUUUCAAAUAACAGACUGUCCACGAAGAAAGUCAACCCAAGGGGUUUUCGGACAUGGGUUCGAUUCCCAUCAUCUCCACCA
rnacentral:tmRNA from 1 species